rnacentral:rRNA from 2 species
UUAAGCGACUAAGCGUACACGGUGGAUGCCCUGGCAGUCAGAGGCGAUGAAGGACGUGCUAAUCUGCGAUAAGCGUCGGUAAGGUGAUAUGAACCGUUAUAACCGGCGAUUUCCGAAUGGGGAAACCCAGUGUGAUUCGUCACACUAUCAUUAACUGAAUCCAUAGGUUAAUGAGGCGAACCGGGGGAACUGAAACAUCUAAGUACCCCGAGGAAAAGAAAUCAACCGAGAUUCCCCCAGUAGCGGCGAGCGAACGGGGAGCAGCCCAGAGCCUGAAUCAGUGUGUGUGUUAGUGGAAGCGUCUGGAAAGGCGCGCGAUACAGGGUGACAGCCCCGUACACAAAAAUGCACAUGCUGUGAGCUCGAUGAGUAGGGCGGGACACGUGGUAUCCUGUCUGAAUAUGGGGGGACCAUCCUCCAAGGCUAAAUACUCCUGACUGACCGAUAGUGAACCAGUACCGUGAGGGAAAGGCGAAAAGAACCCCGGCGAGGGGAGUGAAAAAGAACCUGAAACCGUGUACGUACAAGCAGUGGGAGCACAGAGCAAUCUGUGUGACUGCGUACCUUUUGUAUAAUGGGUCAGCGACUUAUAUUCUGUAGCAAGGUUAACCGAAUAGGGGAGCCGAAGGGAAACCGAGUCUUAACUGGGCGUUAAGUUGCAGGGUAUAGACCCGAAACCCGGUGAUCUAGCCAUGGGCAGGUUGAAGGUUGGGUAACACUAACUGGAGGACCGAACCGACUAAUGUUGAAAAAUUAGCGGAUGACUUGUGGCUGGGGGUGAAAGGCCAAUCAAACCGGGAGAUAGCUGGUUCUCCCCGAAAGCUAUUUAGGUAGCGCCUCGUGAAUUCAUCUCCGGGGGUAGAGCACUGUUUCGGCAAGGGGGUCAUCCCGACUUACCAACCCGAUGCAAACUGCGAAUACCGGAGAAUGUUAUCACGGGAGACACACGGCGGGUGCUAACGUCCGUCGUGAAGAGGGAAACAACCCAGACCGCCAGCUAAGGUCCCAAAGUCAUGGUUAAGUGGGAAACGAUGUGGGAAGGCCCAGACAGCCAGGAUGUUGGCUUAGAAGCAGCCAUCAUUUAAAGAAAGCGUAAUAGCUCACUGGUCGAGUCGGCCUGCGCGGAAGAUGUAACGGGGCUAAACCAUGCACCGAAGCUGCGGCAGCGACGCUGAUGCGUUGUUGGGUAGGGGAGCGUUCUGUAAGCCUGCGAAGGUGUGCUGUGAGGCAUGCUGGAGGUAUCAGAAGUGCGAAUGCUGACAUAAGUAACGAUAAAGCGGGUGAAAAGCCCGCUCGCCGGAAGACCAAGGGUUCCUGUCCAACGUUAAUCGGGGCAGGGUGAGUCGACCCCUAAGGCGAGGCCGAAAGGCGUAGUCGAUGGGAAACAGGUUAAUAUUCCUGUACUUGGUGUUACUGCGAAGGGGGGACGGAGAAGGCUAUGUUGGCCGGGCGACGGUUGUCCCGGUUUAAGCGUGUAGGCUGGUUUUCCAGGCAAAUCCGGAAAAUCAAGGCUGAGGCGUGAUGACGAGGCACUACGGUGCUGAAGCAACAAAUGCCCUGCUUCCAGGAAAAGCCUCUAAGCAUCAGGUAACAUCAAAUCGUACCCCAAACCGACACAGGUGGUCAGGUAGAGAAUACCAAGGCGCUUGAGAGAACUCGGGUGAAGGAACUAGGCAAAAUGGUGCCGUAACUUCGGGAGAAGGCACGCUGAUAUGUAGGUGAAGUCCCUCGCGGAUGGAGCUGAAAUCAGUCGAAGAUACCAGCUGGCUGCAACUGUUUAUUAAAAACACAGCACUGUGCAAACACGAAAGUGGACGUAUACGGUGUGACGCCUGCCCGGUGCCGGAAGGUUAAUUGAUGGGGUUAGCGCAAGCGAAGCUCUUGAUCGAAGCCCCGGUAAACGGCGGCCGUAACUAUAACGGUCCUAAGGUAGCGAAAUUCCUUGUCGGGUAAGUUCCGACCUGCACGAAUGGCGUAAUGAUGGCCAGGCUGUCUCCACCCGAGACUCAGUGAAAUUGAACUCGCUGUGAAGAUGCAGUGUACCCGCGGCAAGACGGAAAGACCCCGUGAACCUUUACUAUAGCUUGACACUGAACAUUGAGCCUUGAUGUGUAGGAUAGGUGGGAGGCUUUGAAGUGUGGACGCCAGUCUGCAUGGAGCCGACCUUGAAAUACCACCCUUUAAUGUUUGAUGUUCUAACGUUGACCCGUAAUCCGGGUUGCGGACAGUGUCUGGUGGGUAGUUUGACUGGGGCGGUCUCCUCCUAAAGAGUAACGGAGGAGCACGAAGGUUGGCUAAUCCUGGUCGGACAUCAGGAGGUUAGUGCAAUGGCAUAAGCCAGCUUGACUGCGAGCGUGACGGCGCGAGCAGGUGCGAAAGCAGGUCAUAGUGAUCCGGUGGUUCUGAAUGGAAGGGCCAUCGCUCAACGGAUAAAAGGUACUCCGGGGAUAACAGGCUGAUACCGCCCAAGAGUUCAUAUCGACGGCGGUGUUUGGCACCUCGAUGUCGGCUCAUCACAUCCUGGGGCUGAAGUAGGUCCCAAGGGUAUGGCUGUUCGCCAUUUAAAGUGGUACGCGAGCUGGGUUUAGAACGUCGUGAGACAGUUCGGUCCCUAUCUGCCGUGGGCGCUGGAGAACUGAGGGGGGCUGCUCCUAGUACGAGAGGACCGGAGUGGACGCAUCACUGGUGUUCGGGUUGUCAUGCCAAUGGCACUGCCCGGUAGCUAAAUGCGGAAGAGAUAAGUGCUGAAAGCAUCUAAGCACGAAACUUGCCCCGAGAUGAGUUCUCCCUGACUCCUUGAGAGUCCUGAAGGAACGUUGAAGACGACGACGUUGAUAGGCCGGGUGUGUAAGCGCAGCGAUGCGUUGAGCUAACCGGUACUAAUGAACCGUGAGGCUUAACCUU